rnacentral:rRNA from 1 species
UGUAUCUAUUGUAUCACCUUUUAGCCCACGACUGGUUGCCCACUGAAGCUAAGCAGGGUUGAGCCUGGCCAGUACCUGGAUGGGAGACCUCCUGGGAAAACUAGGUUGCUGCUGGAA